rnacentral:lncRNA from 1 species
CGUGUUGCUUUGGGUUUUAGGGUUUGGGAUGCUCAAGGGCAAAAAGGCAGUCCUUGAUGAAGGAACCGCGCUACCUGCAGGGAUACGAACACAUACAAAACAAACAUGUAUAAAGUAAAUGUGCCAACAAGGGGCUCAGAAGUAAAUAAACAAAAGAAAACAAAUGCCUCCUAUCGAGGUCUUCCAGCUAAGAAAGCGAUAAAAUGCGGAAAAGAGGUAAAAGUACCACACGGAUGAAGAUCCGAAGUAACAGCAAUUAAAGGAGUAAGAAACCCAGGGACCUCCCAAGCUAAUGCCAUCAAAGAAAAGUGAGUCAGUACAGGUAAUCGGAAUGAACCUCCAGGGGGUAUC